AAUACUAUACUUUCAGGGAUCAUUUCUAUAGUAUCCAACUAGAGACAUGCACUCGAAAGUGAUCGGCUGAACUUGCUUCCAGAAAUUGUGGGUGCUCCAACCUUGAAGGUUUUUAAGAAGAGAUUGGACAACCUUGUUUGUCUGAAAUGGUUAGGGUUUCCUACCUGAGCAGG
ensembl:snoRNA U3 Small nucleolar RNA U3